GAUGAACGCUGGCGGCGUGCCUAAUACAUGCAAGUCGAGCGAACGGACGAGAAGCUUGCUUCUCUGAUGUUAGCGGCGGACGGGUGAGUAACACGUGGAUAACCUACCUAUAAGACUGGGAUAACUUCGGGAAACCGGAGCUAAUACCGGAUAAUAUUUUGAACCGCAUGGUUCAAAAGUGAAAGACAGUCUUGCUGUCACUUAUAGAUGGAUCCGCGCUGCAUUAGCUAGUUGGUAAGGUAACGGCUUACCAAGGCAACGAUGCAUAGCCGACCUGAGAGGGUGAGCGGCCACACUGGAACUGAGACACGGUCCAGACUCCUACGGGAGGCAGCAGUAGGGAAUCUUCCGCAAUGGGCGAAAGCCUGACGGAGCAACGCCGCGUGAGUGAUGAAGGUCUUCGGAUCGUAAAACUCUGUUAUUAGGGAAGAACAGAUGUGUAAGUAACUGUGCACAUCUUGACGGUACCUAAUCAGAAAGCCACGGCUAACUACGUG
rnacentral:rRNA from 1 species